UCUCUCUUUCUCUCUCUCUCUCUCUCUCUGUGUGUGUGUGUGUGUGAGAGAGAGAGAGAGAAAGAGAGAGA